rnacentral:tRNA from 1 species
CUCCGUGUAGCUCAGUCUGGUAGAGCGCCUGCUUCGGGAGCAGGAGGCCGCAGGUUCAAGUCCUGUCUCGGAGACCA